UACGUAGGGUGCAAGCGUUAAUCGGAAUUACUGGGCGUAAAGCGUGCGCAGGCGGCUAUGCAAGACAGAUGUGAAAUCCCCGGGCUCAACCUGGGAACUGCAUUUGUGACUGCAUGGCUAGAGUACGGUAGAGGAUGGUGGAAUUCCCGGUGUAGCGGUGAAAUGCGUAGAGAUCGGGAGGAACACCGGUGGCGAAGGCGGGUCUCUGGGCCGAUACUGACGCUGAGUGCGCGAAAGCCAGGGGAGCAAACGGG
rnacentral:rRNA from 1 species